AUGACCACUGUUCGCACUCUUUUGGCUGUUGCUGCUGUUCGGCAGUGGUCCAUCUCUCAAUUAGAUGUCAAGAAUGCCUUCUUGAAUGGUGAGCUGCGGGAAGUGGUCUAUAUGCAGCCGCCUCCUGGCUAUACUGUCUCUGAUGGCACUGUCUGUCGCCUUCGGCGCGCUCUUUACGGGCUGAAACAAGCUCCUCGUACCUGGUUUGAGUGUUUCUCCGCCGUCAUCACAAGGAUCGGGUUCUCUGCUAGUGUUCAUGAUCCUGCUCUGUUUAUUCACACUUCUCCUCGCGGUCGCACCCUUUUACUACUCUAUGUUGAUGACAUGAUUAUCACAGGGGCUGACCACCAAUUCAUUGAUUUUGUGAAGAAACGUCUACAUGAGCAAUUCUUGAUGACUGAUUUGGGUUCUCUUCGCUACUUUCUUGGACUUGAGAUCAUUUCUUCCCCUGAGGGUAUUUAUCUCUCUCAAGAGAAGUACAUCCAAGAUCUUCUCACUCGUGCCUGCCUCACUGAUCAGCGCAUGGUUGACACUCCUAUGGAGUUUGGUCUCCAUCUUCGUCCUGGUGAGGGUGAACCCCUUGCAGAUCCCACACGCUACCGCCAUCUUGUUGGGAGCCUUGUCUAUCUAGGCAUCACUCGUCCUGACAUUUCUUAUGUUGUGCACAUUCUAAGUCAGUUUGUCUCUGCUCCCACUCAACUUCACUACAGUCACCUUCUUCGUGUUCUUCGUUACCUUCGUGGUACCGCGACUCGUCGCUUAUUCUUCCCUCGCUCCAGCUCUCUUCAGCUUCAGGCCUACUGUGAUGCUACCUGGGCCAGCGAUCCCACUGAUCGCCGCUCUCUCUCUGCCUAUUGUGUUUUUCUUGGCUCCUCCCUGAUUGCCUGGAAGACCAAGAAGCAGAAUGCUGUAUCUCGCUCCAGUGCUGAGGCUGAGCUGCGAGCUAUGGCGUCCGUGACUGCAGAAAUUACUUGGCUACGAUGGCUUCUUCAGGAUUUUGGUGUUUCCACUGCUACACCGACCCCUCUGCUCUCCGACAGCACUGGGGCACUCAGCAUUGCCCGUGAUCCUGUUAAGCAUGAGCUCACCAAGCACAUCGGUGUUGAUGCCUCCUACACUCGUUCUUAG
rnacentral:rRNA from 1 species